GUUAUGUUGACCAUGUUCAUUAGAUGUAGGAUUGGUUAUGUUGACCAUGUUCAUUAGAUGUAGGUUGGUUAUGUUGACCAUGUUCAUUAGAUGUAGGUCGGUUAUGUUGACCAUGUUCAUUAUAUGUAGGUUGGUUAUGUUGACCAUGUUCAUUAGAUGUAGGUUGGUUAUGUUGACCAUGUUCAUUAGAUGUAGGAUCGGUUAUGUUGACCAUGUUCAUUAGAUGUAGGAUCGUUUAUGUUGACCAUGUUCAUUAUAUGUAGGAUCGGUUAUGUUGACCAUGUUCAUUAGAUGUAGGAUCGGUUAUGUUGACCAUGUUCAUUAGAUGUAGGAUCGGUUAUGUUGACCAUGUUCAUUAGAUGUACGUCGGUUAUGUUGACC